AUCAGAAAUGAAAAUAAUAGAAUUAAUGUCAUGUACCAUUCAGUUACCAAUGAUAAAUCUGUAAUCUAUGAGCGAAAAUGAAGCUAACGAGAAAAGCUGGCCGUCAAAAUUAAUCAUACAAAUGACUUUGUGAAUGACCAAUGUAACCUAUAUAAGACGUCCCAUUCCUAACCGUUUCACCGUGUCCUGACAGUGUCACACCCAGUUCAGUUAUACACCCUGCACAACAACAUGGCCUCGAGGAUUGUUUUGGUAGCGCUUGGCGCUGUGUUCGCCUCUGUUUUGAUCUCCGUCUAUGGAACGGGUGAAAUAGAGGUGAGCAUUGGAGAUGGCAAAACAGCCACACUCGGACAUGUCGGAUGUUACAAUGACGAAGACGCCCCUAACCGCUCGCUCCGUACCCUCUACCACAACCACCGCUCAGAAAUAGUGUGGGCACUUUGGCC